AUGGCCGAAUCACUGCUUCUCCCUUUGGUGCGCGGUGUGGCCGGCAAGGCCACAGAUGCACUCGUCCAGACUGUGACCCGCAUGUGUGGCCUCGACGACGACCGUGAAACGCUGGAGCGCCAUCUGCUAGCCGUGGAGUGCAAGCUGGCCAACGCGGAGGAAAAGAGCCAGAAAAAUGCCUACCUUAAGAGCUGGAUGGAGAAGCUCAAGGCCGUUGCCUGCGAGGCCGACGACGUCCUCGACGACUUCCAGUACGAGGCACUGCGUCGUGAAGCCCAGAUCGGCAAGUCCACUUCCUGCAAGGUACUCGGCUACAUCACGCGCCGCAGCCCGCUGCUCUUCCGUUUUGCCAUGAGCAGGAAGCUCAAGGGAGUCCUUGAGAAGAUCAAUACGUUAGUCAAGGAGAUGAACAAGUUUGGCCUUGAGAAUUCUGUCCAUCAGCAGGAGCCCCAACUUCCUUGGCGGCAGACUCACUCCAAACUGGAUGAGUCUACCGACAUCUUUGGAAGAGAUGAUGACAAGGAGAGGGUAGUGAAGCUGCUGCUAGACCAGCAAGAUCAGCAGAAGGUUCAGGUGCUGCCCAUCUUUGGUAUGGGAGGUCUUGGCAAGACGGCACUUACUAAGAUGGUGUACAACGACCAAAAGGUCCAGCAGCAUUUCCAGUUGAAGAUGUGGCACUGCGUUUCAGACAGUUUUGAUGUUAUUGCUAUUGUCAAAUCGAUGAUUGAAUUGGCUAUAAAUGAUAUGCCAAAAGAAGAAAAAGAAAAGGUUACAACCGGGAAUUGGUACCUGUCUGGCAACAUCGAGCUGUUGCAGAAGAAACUUAAUGAAGUCAUUGGCCGGAAAAGAUUUUUACUUGUUCUUGAUGAUGUAUGGAACGAAGAGAAGAGGAUGUGGGAUGAUGAAUUGAAGCCACUGUUGUGUUCUCUUGGUGGCCCAGGAAGUGUUAUAGUGGUCACAUGUCGAAGCAAGCAAGUGGCCUUAAUAAUGUGCACAGUUAAUCCCCAUGAGCUAACAUUUCUGAGUGAAGAAGAUUCAUGGAAAUUGUUUUCGAACAAGGCAUUUAGCAAUGGCAUAGAGUACCAAGCAGAGUUAGAAACCACCGGAAGACGUAUUGUGAAUAAAUGUGGGGGUUUGCCUCUUGCUCUGAAGACAAUGGGUGGAUUGCUGAGCUCAAAGAGACAAGUACAGGAAUGGAAGGCCAUUGAAGAAAGUAACAUUGGGGAUAAUGUUGGAGGCAAACAUGAGGUCAUGCCCAUACUAAAGUUAAGCUACAAACACCUAUCACCUGAAAUGAAGCAAUGUUUUGCAAUUUGUGCACUUUUCCAGAAGGAUUAUGAGAUGCAGAAGGAUAUGCUGAUCCAACUAUGGAUGGCAAAUGACUUUAUUCAAGAAGAGGGAACAAUGGAUUUAACACAGAAAGGAGAAUUCAUUUUUGAUGAGUUGGUUUGGAGGUCCUUCCUCCAGGAUAAGAAAGUGAAAGCUAUAUCUGGUUCGCGUAUUUGUAGCGAUGAAUAUGAGACAGUAGUAUGUAAAAUGCAUGACUUAAUGCACGACUUAGCUAGAGAUAUUAACAAUGAAUGUGCCGCCAUAGAAGAUUUGUUUGAACAGAAGGCAUUGGUAAACAAUGUCUGUCACCUGCAAAUGUCAGAGGUUAAAUUGGAAAAGAUCUGUGGAUUGUUUGAUGGCAAAUCUCAUGUCCGAACUUUGUUAGCUCCCUCAAAUAUACACCAGGAUUUUAAGCUGCUGCCACAUGUAUCAUUACGAGCAUUGCAGUGGCAGAGUGUGCGCAUCAGUUUCAAGGCAAAGAAUGCAAAACAUUUACGGUAUCUUGACCUCUCCAAUUGUGACAUCAAUGCUAGUUUGCUAGAUUCCAUAUGUCUGUUGUAUAACCUGCAAACUUUGAGGCUCAAUCACUGCAAGGGACUACGGCAAUUUCCAGAAGACAUGAUGAUGAGCCUGAGAAAGCUCAUACAUGUUUAUCUUUAUGGAUGUUCUAAUCUGAAGCGGAUGCCUCGAAACAUUGGUCAGCUGAACAACCUUCGCACACUAACAAGAUUUAUUGUGGAUACGAGAGAUGGUUGUGGUAUUGAGGAGCUCAAAGACCUGCGACACCUUAGCAACAGGUUGGAACUGUACAACUUGAGAAAAAUAAAGAGUGUAAAUCAUGCAAAAGAAGCCAAUCUCAAGCAGAAGCAAAAUCUGAGUGAGUUGUUGUUCUGUUGGGACUUUGAAAGAUUUGACAGGACCAAAAAUGAGGCAUGUAAUGAGGAAGAAGUGUUCCAGCAUCUAGAACCUCAUAGCAAGAUCCAAAUUUUUGAGUUGUACGGAUAUGGUGGCAAAGAAAUACCACGAUGGAUGAGAUACCCUCAUAUGUUUCAGUGCUUAAGAAAACUCACAAUUUCCAACUGGACAAGGUGUAAGAAUAUACCUGUAGUAUGGCUCUCACCCUCACUGGAAUUCUUAUGCUUGAUCAACAUGGGUAAGCUGAAGACAUUAUGUGAUAAUCUUUGCAUAGAAGGUGGAGGACGCAGUACCCCUCUACAAUUUUUCCCAAAGUUGAAGGAGAUGAGCUUGGAAGAGCUACCUAGUCUAGAGGGAUGGGCAGAAAACAGUGCGGGUGUGGCCAUUGAUAGCUCAGUUAUAUUCCCGGUGCUUGAGAAGCUAAAAGUUAGCUGCUGCCCUAAGCUUGCAAGUUUUCCACUGAGCAGCCCCGUUCUCAAAGACCUGAAGUUAGCGGGAGAUUACUUGGAGGUGGAGUGUUUAUGGGAUAUUGCAAGGUUGCCUUCGAACCUUCGAACAUCCCUUGAAACUUUGUGGAUUCAAUGCUCCCCACGUUUGGUGGCGCUGCCUUCGAACCUUGGAGAUCUGGCAAAGCUGAGCGACCUACUGGUGAAUUGCUGCCCGAGCCUGAAAGGGUUGCCUGACGGGAUGGAUGGCCUCACUUCUCUUCGGAAAUUGACGAUCUCUCAUUGUCCAGCGGCGGAGGAAUUGCCGAAUGGUCUCCUUCAGCGGUUGCCAGCCCUUCACGAACUGUGCAUAAGGUGCUGCCCCGAGUUGGAAAGACGAUGCAGAGAAGGCGGGGAGUAUUUCCAGCACUUGUCUCCUAUCCCACGUAGAAGAGGAUUCAGAACUGGAGGAGAAUCCAGAAUUAUAGCACCAAAAGCAGAAACCAGCGGAAAGAAGUUUCUAAGAAGGCUCCUCCCCUCCUGUGCUCACUCCAAGUCUGACUGA
rnacentral:rRNA from 1 species